ACUGUAGACAUACUCUAUUAUCACACCUUAAUAUAUAAAUAUGUAUUUUGCUUCAUUUUUAUUUUUAUUAAUUUCUAUUGGACUCAGGAGACUCUAAAGACAUGGACCUUCAUGUGCCCAUAUAAUUUUGGUAUUAUAUAUAUAUUCUUAUAAUACUAUUGUGAACCUUCAUGUGCUCACAUAUUUUUGGUAUUUUAUGACUAUAUAAAAUAGACUCGAUAAUUGUUUAUGUAUAGUUACCUGAUAACUAGGGGAUGCUCCUUCCCCAAGCUAGAUGUUUGCAAUAGUUGGUGUUGAUGAUCUUCAGAGUGAGCUAACUGGCAGCACUCCAUGUGGGUGCCACUAGUAGACUCUCUCCUUGUCAUAAUGUUGUUCCUGUAUAAUUACACUCUAAAAAGAAAACCAAAACUCGAGGCUCGAAUUUGAUAAGAGGUUAGCGGUCAGCCAAAGAGUAAUUGAUCACCUUUAAGAGCUAGAUUAAUGUUGUUUAACUUGAAUAGGACUUCUAUUUUCUCUCUUUUUUUUGAAUUUUCUAUUUAUGAUUUAGGAAUUUAAAUGCUAUAUUUUGUCAUUUUUAUUUUAUGCCACCACAGCGGAUGUUCCUUCGGGAAAUACCAUAGGGUAUCCACCUGGGGCUUGUGAUGCCAUGAGUAACGCAGUAAAUAUUUUUUUGUUGUUUUUAUAUCUUUUAGUGUCUAAACAAAAUUAUGCUAUUAAAUAAAUUGCAAAUGCAUUUAAUGAGAUAACUACCAUUCUAACCUUAUGGCUAGGGUAUAGAAUUUUAAAGUCUACCGACAGGACUUAAAUAGAGGAGAACACUUACGAAGUGGGUUCAUUGUCUGAGGUAACCUCAGUCAACUCCCCGUUCUGUGGUGAUGCCGCACGUGCCUUCCUCCACUCUUGUGUAUCUCUCCAUAUUGAGAGAUGGAGGUCUUGAUGGUUGCAUACCUCUAGUGAUGGUAAUGUCCUUUUGUUCUUUGAUUUGGUCAGCAGGUUGAAGUAGAGUUUAAUAGGAGCUGGCAUCAUCUUGCUCAGUGUGUAUGCUCACAGAACUUUCACUUGUAGAAUUAAUAAACUUUGCUUGAUGUGUUGUCCUGUUUGCAAAACUAGGGUAGAGAUCAAGUGUAUGGGCUCUGCUGGUGGAAAAAACACCAACAGAACCAAAAUCUAUUUCUUUAUAUAUUUUUCUCCAUCCUUAGGCACAUUAAACAAGAUAAAAGUUGUGUUAUAUGAUUUAUUUAUUUAUGAGUGGUAAGAUCAAAAGAUUAAGCAUUCAAUGUUAUAUUUAAGUUUACAUGCCAGGAAAGAAUGAAAUUGCUUAACCAAUGGAAUGAUUGUCUAUCUCUAUAUAAAUUUUCAAAUAAGUAUGACUUUCAUCUUCUCAAGAUUGAAUAUAAUGUUCAAACUUGUUUGGUUAAGACUAAGACUAAGAGAAUGGUGCCAUGAACAAUUUAAAAGAGCAAAGCAUAUUG
rnacentral:lncRNA from 1 species